UACGUAGGGCGCAAGCGCUAUCCGGAAUUAUUGGGCGUAAAGAGCUCGUAGGCGGUUUGUCGCGUCUGCCGUGAAAGUCCGGGGCUCAACUCCGGAUCUGCGGUGGGUACGGGCAGACUAGAGUGAUGUAGGGGAGACUGGAAUUCCUGGUGUAGCGGUGAAAUGCGUAGAUAUCAAGAGGAACACCAGUGGCGAAGGCGAGUCCCUGGACGAUACCUGACACUGAGGCACGAAAGCCGGGGGAGCAAACAGG
rnacentral:rRNA from 1 species